GAUGAAGAACGUAGCGAAAUGCGAUAAGUAGUGUGAAUUGCAGAAUUCCGUGAAUCAUCGAAUCUUUGAACGCACAUUGCGCCUGCCAGCACUCUGGCAGGCAUGCCUGUUCGAGCGUCAUUUCAACCAUCAAGCCCUAGGCUUGCGUUGGAGCCCUGCGGCUGCCGCAGGCCCCUAAAAGCAGUGGCGGGCUCGCUAUCACACCGAGUGCAGUAGAUUACUCUUCGCUCAGGGCGUGUGGCGGGUUCCAGCCGUGAAACCCCCUACUUCUCAAGGUUGACCUCGGAUCAGGUAGGAAUACCCGCUGAACUUAAGCAUAUCAAUAAGCGGAGGA
rnacentral:misc_RNA from 1 species